rnacentral:rRNA from 1 species
GACGAACCGUGCGAACGUUGUUCGGAUUCACUGGGCUUAAAGGGCGCGUAGGCGGGUGAUCAAGUCCGGGGUGAAAUCCUUCAGCUCAACUGGAGAAUAGCCUUGGAUACUGGUCGCCUCGAGGGAGGUAGGGCGGGCGGAACUUCCGGUGGAGCGGUGAAAUGCGUAGAUAUCGUUUGGAACGCCAAUGGUGAAAACAGACUGCUGGGGUUGUGCUGACGCUGAGACACGAAAGCCAGGGGAGCGAACGGG